rnacentral:rRNA from 1 species
AUGGCUGUCGUCAGCUCGUGUCGUGAGAUGUUGGGUUAGGUCCCGCAACGAGCGCAACCCUUGAUAAUAGUUGCCAGCAAGUAGUGUUGGGCACUCUAUUGUGACUGCCGUAGAUAAUACGGAGGAAGGUGGGGAUGACGUCAAAUCAUCAUGCCCUAUAUGACCUGGGCUACACACGUGCUACAAUGGGGUGAACAACGGGAAGCAAGCCAGCGAUGGUAAGCGGACCCCUAAAAACACCUCUCAGUUCAGAUUGCAGGCUGCAACCCGCCUGCAUGAAGUCGGAAUUGCUAGUAAUCGCGGAUCAGCAAGCCGCGGUGAAUACGUUCCCGGGCCUUGUACACACCGCCCGU